rnacentral:rRNA from 1 species
GACGAACGCUGGCGGCGUGCUUAACACAUGCAAGUCGAACGGAAAGGCCCUGCUUUUGUGGGGUGCUCGAGUGGCGAACGGGUGAGUAACACGUGAGUAACCUGCCCUUGACUUUGGGAUAACUUCAGGAAACUGGGGCUAAUACCGGAUAGGAGCUCCUGCUGCAUGGUGGGGGUUGGAAAGUUUCGGCGGUUGGGGUUGGUCUCUCGGCUUAUCAGCUUGUUGGUGGGGUAGUGGCUUACCAAGGCUUUGACGGGUCGCCGGCCUGAGAGGGUGACCGGCCACAUUAGGACUGAGAGACGGCGCAGACUACUACGGGAGGCAGCAGUGGGGAAUAUUGCACAAUGGGCGGAAGCCUGAUGCAGCAACGCCGCGUGCGGGAUGACGGCCUUCGGGUUAUAAACAGCUUUCGCCUGUGACGAAGCGUGAGUGACGGUAAUGGGUAAAGAAGCACCGGCUAACUACGUG